rnacentral:rRNA from 1 species
GACGAACGCUGGCGGCGUGCUUAACACAUGCAAGUCGAACGGAAAGGCCCUGCUUUUGUGGGGUGCUCGAGUGGCGAACGGGUGAGUAACACGUGAGUAACCUGCCCUUGACUUUGGGAUAACUUCAGGAAACUGGGGCUAAUACCGGAUAGGAGCUCCUGCUGCAUGGUGGGGGUUGGAAAGUGUCGGCGGUUGGGGAUGGACUCGCGGCUUAUCAGCUUGUUGGUGGGGUAGUGGCUUACCAAGGCUUUGACGGGUAGCCGGCCUGAGAGGGUGACCGGCGACAUUGGGACUGAGGUACGGCCCAGAAUCCUACGGGAGGCAGCAGUGGGGAAUAUUGCACAAUGGGCGGAAGCCUGAUGCAGCAACGCCGCGUGCGGGAUGACGGCCUUCGGGUUGUAAACCGCUUUCGCCUUUGACGAAGCGUGAGUGACGGUAAUGGGUAAAGAAGCACCGGCUAACUACGUG